UACGUAGGCAGCGAGCGUUGUUCGGAGUUACUGGGCGUAAAGGGUGUGUAGGCGGUUGUUUAAGUUUGGUGUGAAAUCUCCCGGCUCAACUGGGAGGGUGCGCCGAAUACUGAAUGACUUGGAGUGCGGGAGAGGAAAGUGGAAUUCCUGGUGUAGCGGUGAAAUGCGUGGAUAUCAGGAGGAACACCGGUGGUGUAGACGGCUUUCUGGACCGUAACUGACGCUGAGACACGAAAGCGUGGGUAGCAAACAGG
rnacentral:rRNA from 1 species